rnacentral:rRNA from 1 species
UCGAACGAGAACGGAUUAUAGCUUGCUAUAAUUGUCAGCUAAGUGGCGCACGGGUGAGUAAUGUAUAGAUAACCUGCCCUUAAGAAAGGAAUAACAGUUGGAAACGACUGCUAAUGCCCUAUAUGCCUUUAAUACAUAAGUAUGCAAGGGAAACGCUUUAGUGCUUAAGGAUGGGUCUGUAUGGUAUCAGCUUGUUGGUGAGGUAAUGGCUCACCAAGGCUAUGACGCCUAACUGGUUUGAGAGGAUGAUCAGUCACACUGGAACUGAGACACGGUCCAGACUCCUACGGGAGGCAGCAGUGGGGAAUAUUGCACAAUGGACGAAAGUCUGAUGCAGCAACGCCGCGUGGAGGAUGACACAUUUCGGUGCGUAAACUCCUUUUAUAUAGGAAGAUAAUGACGGUACUAUAUGAAUAAGCACCGGCUAACUCCGUGCCA